GCCCUUGUAGCUCAGGGGAUAGAGCGUCUGCCUCCGGAGCAGAAAGCCGCAGGUUCGAAUCCAUUUUGCCUGUUCAGAGUGCAA
rnacentral:tRNA from 1 species